rnacentral:rRNA from 1 species
UACGAAGGGGGCAAGCGUUGUUCGGAAUUACUGGGCGUAAAGGGCGCGUAGGCGGCUUAUCAAGUCAGGCGUGAAAUUCCCGGGCUCAACCUGGGGGCUGCGCUUGAUACUGAUUGGCUUGAAUGCGGGAGAGGAUAGUGGAAUUCCCAGUGUAGAGGUGAAAUUCGUAGAUAUUGGGAAGAACACCGGUGGCGAAGGCGGCUAUCUGGCCCGUAAUUGACGCUGAGGCGCGAAAGCGUGGGGAGCAAACAGGG